rnacentral:rRNA from 1 species
AGUCUGGUGCCAGCAGCCGCGGUAAUUCCAGCUCCAAUAGCGUAUAUUAAAGUUGUUGCAGUUAAAAAGCUCGUAGUUGGAUUUCUGUUAAUAAUUUAUAUAAAAUAUUUUGAUGAAUAUUUAUAUAAUAUUAACAUAAUUCAUAUUACUAUUUUUUUUAGUAUAUGAAAUUUUACUUUGAGAAAAUUAGAGUGCUUAAAGCAGGCAUAUGCCUUGAAUACUCCAGCAUGGAAUAAUAUUAAAGAUUUUUAUCUUUCUUAUUGGUUCUAAGAUAAGAAUAAUGAUUAAUAGGGACAGUUGGGGGCAUUUGUAUUUAACAGUCAGAGGUGAAAUUCUUAGAUUUGUUAAAGACAAACUAAUGCGAAAGCAUUUGCCAAGGAUGUUUUCAUUAAUCAAGAACGAAAGUUAGGG